rnacentral:rRNA from 1 species
CCUAGGAAUCUGCCUGGUAGUGGGGGACAACGUUUCGAAAGGAACGCUAAUACCGCAUACGUCCUACGGGAGAAAGCAGGGGACCUUCGGGCCUUGCGCUAUCAGAUGAGCCUAGGUCGGAUUAGCUUGUUGGUGAGGUAAUGGCUCACCAAGGCGACGAUCCGUAACUGGUCUGAGAGGAUGAUCAGUCACACUGGAACUGAGACACGGUCCAGACUCCUACGGGAGGCAGCAGUGGGGAAUAUUGGACAAUGGGCGAAAGCCUGAUCCAGCCAUGCCGCGUGUGUGAAGAAGGUCUUCGGAUUGUAAAGCACUUUAAGUUGGGAGGAAGGGUUGUAGAUUAAUACUCUGCAAUUUUGACGUUACCGACAGAAUAAGCACCGGCUAACUCUGUGCCAGCAGCCGCGGUAAUACAGAGGGUGCAAGCGUUAAUCGGAAUUACUGGGCGUAAAGCGCGCGUAGGUGGUUUGUUAAGUUGGAUGUGAAAGCCCCGGGCUCAACCUGGGAACUGCAUCCAAAACUGGCAAGCUAGAGUACGGUAGAGGGUGGUGGA